rnacentral:rRNA from 1 species
AGUGCAGCAGGCGAGGAAUAUUGGGCAAUGGAGGCAACUCUGACCCAGCCAUGCCGCGUGCAGGAAGAAGGCGUUAUGCGUUGUAAACUGCUUUUAUAUAGGAAGAAAGAGUUCUUGCGAGAACAGUUGACGGUACUAUAUGAAUAAGCACCGGCUAACUCCGUGCCAGCAGCCGCGGUAAUACGGAGGGUGCAAGCGUUGUCCGGAUUUAUUGGGUUUAAAGGGUGCGUAGGCGGUUUAUUAAGUCAGUGGUGAAAGACGGUCGCUCAACGAUUGCAGUGCCAUUGAUACUGGUAGACUUGAGUGAGUUUGAAGUAGCUGGAAUGGAUAGUGUAGCGGUGAAAUGCAUAGAUAUUAUCCAGAACACCAAUUGCGUAGGCAAGUUACUAAGACUCAACUGACGCUGAGGCACGAAAGUGUGGGUAUCAAACAGGAUUAGAUACCCCAGUAU